rnacentral:tRNA from 1 species
GGUUACUUAGCUCAGCAGGUAGAGCAGCGCCUUCAUGCGGCGAUUGUCACUGGUUCGAAUCCAGUAGUAACCACCA